GACGAACGCUGGCGGCGUGCUUAACACAUGCAAGUCGAACGGAAAGGCCUGCUUUCCCUUGUGGAUUGCGGGUACUCGAGUGGCUAACGGGUGAGUAACACGUGAGUUAUCUGCCCCCAACUUGGGUAUAAGCCUGGGAAACUGUGUCUAAUUCCCGAUAGGACUGCAGGGUGGUUCCUGUGGUGGAAAACGAUUUUCUUGUGGUUGGGGAUGAGCUCGCGGCCUAUCAGCUUGUUGGUGGGGUAAUGGCCUACCAAGGCGGGGACGGGUAGCCGGCCUGAGAGGGGGGACAGGCAAAUGGGGACAGAGAUAAGGGGCAGACGGGUACGGGAGGCAGGAGAGGGGAAAAAUGGACAAGGGGGGGAAGACUGAAGCAGCGACGCGGCGGGGGGGAUGACGGGCUUCGGGUUGUAAACUCCUUUCGACAGAGAGGAAGCCACGUGGUUGGAAGGGUGGUGACGGUAGUGGUAGAAGAAGCACCGGCUAACUACGUG
rnacentral:rRNA from 1 species